rnacentral:rRNA from 1 species
GACGGAGGAUACAAGCGUUAUCCGGAAUGAUUGGGCGUAAAGCGUCCGCAGGUGGCAGUUCAAGUCUGCUGUCAAAGACCGGGGCUUAACUUCGGAAAGGCAGUGGAAACUGAACAGCUAGAGUAUGGUAGGGGCAGAGGGAAUUCCUGGUGUAGCGGUGAAAUGCGUAGAGAUCAGGAAGAACAUCGGUGGCGAAGGCGCUCUGCUGGACCAUAACUGACACUCAGGGACGAAAGCUAGGGGAGCGAAUGGG